rnacentral:rRNA from 1 species
CAAGUGGCGGACGGGUGAGUAACACGUAAGAAUUUACCUUUAGGAGGGGGAUAACAACUGGAAACGGUUGCUAAUACCUCAUAUGCUUUUAAGUAAAAUGAUAUUUUAACGUUAAUUUUGUAUAACAUUUAAACUUUUUAACAUUAAGAAAAAUAUUGCCUAGAGAGAAGCUUGCGGCUGAUUAGCUUGUUGGUAAGGUAAUGGCUUACCAAGGCGACGAUCAGUAUCUGGUUUGAGAGGAUGAUCAGACACACUGGAACUGAGACACGGUCCAGACUCCUACGGGAGGCAGCAGUGGGGAAUUUUCCGCAAUGGGCGAAAGCCUGACGGAGCAAUACCGCGUGAGGGAUGACUGCCUAUGGGUUGUAAACCUCUUUUUUCAGGGAGGAAGAAAUGACGUGUACCUGAAGAAUAAGCAUCGGCUAACUCC